GACGGAGGAUGCAAGUGUUAUCCGGAAUCACUGGGCGUAAAGCGUCUGUAGGUGGUUUAAUAAGUCAACUGUUAAAUCUUGAGGCUCAACCUCAAAAUCGCAGUCGAAACUAUUAGGCUAGAGUAUAGUAGGGGUAAAGGGAAUUUCCGGUGUAGCGGUGAAAUGCGUAGAUAUCGGAAGGAACAUCAGUGGCGAAAGCGGCUUCCUGGACCAGCACCGACGUUCAGGCACGAAAGCGUGGGGAGCAAACAGG
rnacentral:rRNA from 1 species